rnacentral:rRNA from 1 species
GACGAACGCUGGCGGCGCGCUUAACACAUGCAAGUCGAGCGAUGAAACUUUAACAGAACCCUUCGGGGCGAAGAUAAAGUGGAUUAGCGGCGGACGGGUGAGUAACACGUGAGUAACCUGCCUUAGACAUUGGGAUAGCCUCGGGAAACCGGGAUUAAUACCAAAUAAAAUCAUAAUGACACAUGUCAUAACGAUCAAAACUCCGGUGGUCUAAGAUGGACUCGCGUCCCAUUGGCUAGUUGGUAGAGUAAAAGCCUACCAAGGCGACGAUGGGUAGCCGGCCUGAGAGGGUGAACGGCCACAUUGGAACUGAGAAACGGUCCAAACUCCUACGGGAGGCAGCAGUGGGGAAUAUUGCACAAUGGAGGGAACUCUGAUGCAGCGACGCCGCGUGAACGAAGAAGGCUUUCGAGUCGUAAAGUUCUUUUAUAUGGGAAGAUAACGACGGUACCAUAAGAAAAAGCCCCGGCUAACUACGUG